rnacentral:rRNA from 1 species
GAUGAACGCUGGCGGCGUGCCUAAUACAUGCAAGUCGAGCGAACAGAUGAGAAGCUUGCUUCUCUGAUGUUAGCGGCGGACGGGUGAGUAACACGUGGGUAACCUACCUAUACGACUGGGAUAACUCCGGGAAACCGGGGCUAAUACCGGAUAAUAUUUUGAACCGCAUGGUUCAAUAGUGAAAGACGGUUUCGGCUGUCACUUAUAGAUGGACCCGCGCCGUAUUAGCUAGUUGGUAAGGUAACGGCUUACCAAGGCGACGAUACGUAGCCGACCUGAGAGGGUGAUCGGCCACACUGGAACUGAGACACGGUCCAGACUCCUACGGGAGGCAGCAGUAGGGAAUCUUCCGCAAUGGGCGAAAGCCUGACGGAGCAACGCCGCAUGAGUGAUGAAGGUCUUCGGAUCGUAAAACUCUGUUGUUAGGGAAGAACAAAUUUGUUAGUAACUGAACAAGUCUUGACGGUACCUAACCAGAAAGCCACGGCUAACUACGUGCCAGCCGCCGCGGUAA